CAGUUUUUCAUAGGUAUGAAUUGAAAAUUAAUGUCAGAAAUUACUCUCCAAAAAGCGCUAAUGGCUGUUCUCGCUUGAAUACAUAAUUUCAAUGUUUCUUGUCAUUGAUCGCUGGUGUAAAAUUGACUACAGAAUGAUAUUGUUAGUAAAUUACACUUGUUCUCGAAGUAUUAAUGAAAAAUCGCACUUGGCGUUUUGCGAAAUAUCUAUAAUACCGCGGUAUUAAAAAUAUUUCGCCAAACACGCGCGUGCGAUUUUUAACUAAUACUUCUCGAACCGGAGUAAUUUCCUAUAGCUACAUAUUUCAUUAUAGCGGUUUCAUAAUUAUUUUUGACUUAUGAGUGUACAUUUGAACUAACAAUAAUCGAAAUCGUUUGUGAAACAGACCUUGUGAAACACAUGUUUUUUUUCACCAUAAUGUCAAAAUAUUACCUUUUAUUGGAACUAACAACAUCUCUUUUCUAUUUAUAACAUCCGUUGGAAUUGUCGCGGGCGGAUCAGUCGCAGAAAUCGACGACGUCUGUGGUGGUGCAGAUUUCGCACUCGGGGGACAUAACUGGACCAAUGUCGUACAACACAACAAAAAAAUAAGGAUAGAGUAAAAAACUUGCGCAACCAUUUUCGCAAAAACUGUUUUCGUGAGACGUUUCAGACGCGUACGCGAGAACGUAUUAUAGCGCAUGAAUGAAAUACAUAAGUAUUAUAAAAUUUAAUAAUAUUUUAAUUCGUAUAUGAUUGCAUUGUUUACGAGGUAUUGUUGACUCAUUAUUAUCAAUUGGAUAUUAUAUCAUGCGUGACAUUAAAGGUUAUUGAUAUUGUCA